CAGUCGCCACGGUAAUACGUAGGUCCCGAGCGUUGUCCGGAUUUAUUGGGCGUAAAGCGAGCGCAGGCGGUUAGAUAAGUCUGAAGUUAAAGGCUGUGGCUUAACCAUAGUACGCUUUGGAAACUGUUUAACUUGAGUGCAAGAGGGGAGAGUGGAACUCCAUGUGUAGCGGUGAAAUGCGUAGAUAUAUGGAGGAACACCGGUGGCGAAAGCGGCUCUCUGGCUUGUAACUGACGCUGAGGCUCGAAAGCGUGGGGAGCAAACAGGAUUAGAUACCCCGGUAGUCCCUGUCUCUUAUACA
rnacentral:rRNA from 1 species